GAUGAACGCUGGCGGCGUGCCUAAUACAUGCAAGUCGAGCGAACAGACGAGGAGCUUGCUCCUCUGACGUUAGCGGCGGACGGGUGAGUAACACGUGGAUAACCUACCUAUAAGACUGGGAUAACUUCGGGAAACCGGUGCUAAUACCGGAUAAUAUAUUGAACCGCAUGGUUCAAUAGUGAAAGACGGUUUUGCUGUCACUUAUAGAUGGAUCCGCGCCGCAUUAGCUAGUUGGUAAGGUAACGGCUUACCAAGGCAACGAUGCGUAGCCGACCUGAGAGGGUGAUCGGCCACACUGGAACUGAGACACGGUCCAGACUCCUACGGGAGGCAGCAGUAGGGAAUCGUCCGCAAUGGGCGAAAGCCUGACGGAGCAACGCCGCGUGAGUGAUGAAGGUCUUCGGAUCGUAAAACUCUGUUAUUAGGGAAGAACAAAUGUGUAAGUAACUAUGCACGUCUUGACGGUACCUAAUCAGAAAGCCACGGCUAACUACGUG
rnacentral:rRNA from 1 species